rnacentral:rRNA from 1 species
ACGGGUGAGUAACGCGUGGAUAACCUGCCGUAUACAGGGGGAUAACACUUAGAAAUAGGUGCUAAUACCGCAUAAGCGCACGGUUCCGCAUGGAACAGUGUGAAAAACUCCGGUGGUAUACGAUGGAUCCGCGUCUGAUUAGCCAGUUGGCGGGGUAACGGCCCACCAAAGCGACGAUCAGUAGCCGGCCUGAGAGGGUGAACGGCCACAUUGGGACUGAGACACGGCCCAAACUCCUACGGGAGGUAGCAGUGGGGAAUAUUGCACAAUGGGGGAAACCCUGAUGCAGCGACGCCGCGUGAGUGAAGAAGUAUUUCGGUACGUAAAGCUCUAUCAGCAGGGAAGAAAAAAAGUCCUUUGGACUUUGGACGGUACCUGACCAAGAAGCCCCGGCUAACUACGUGCCAGCAGCCGCGGUAAUACGUAGGGGGCAAGCGUUAUCCGGAUUUACUGGGUGUAAAGGGAGCGUAGACGGCAGCGCAAGUCUGGAGUGAAAUGCCGGGGCCCAACCCCGGAACUGCUUUGGAAACUGUGCAGCUCGAGUGCAGGAGAGGUAAGCGGAAUUCCUAGUGUAGCGGUGAAAUGCGUAGAUAUUAGGAGGAACACCAGUGGCGAAGGCGGCUUACUGGACUGUAACUGACGUUGAGGCUCGAAAGCGUGGGGAGCAAACAGGAUUAGAUACCCUGGUAGUCCACGCCGUAAACGAUGAUUACUAGGUGUCGGGGGGCCAAGGCCCUUCGGUGCCGCCGCAAACG